GACAGAGGGUGCAAACGUUGUUCGGAAUUACUGGGCAUAAAGGGCACGUAGGUGGUUCGCUAAGUUACGUGUGAAAUCCCCCGGCUCAACCGGGGAAUUGCGCGUGAUACUGGCGGACUCGAGGCGGGUAGGGGUGAGCGGAACUCCAGGUGGAGCGGUGAAAUGCGUAGAUAUCUGGAGGAACACCGGUGGCGAAAGCGGCUCACUGGACCAGAUCUGACACUGAUGUGCGAAAGCUAGGGUAGCAAACGGG
rnacentral:rRNA from 1 species